CCGGCAGCUGCCACGCUUCCCUGAAAAGGCGGCUUCUGUUCUGCUGGAGAUGAGCUGAUUUGCCUGGCAGCCAACUUAAACAAGGAGGCAAGAAAACAGCAUAGACUGGGCUCCCAAAUACAUCUACAUGGAUUUAAUGGACACGAUUUUAUACACGUGUCCUGGAAAAGUGCUGGCCACAAAGGAGAUGCCUGAUAAAGACUGUGGAAAAAAAUAUCUGAACAUACAGUCAUAAAAAAGAAGAGAGGAUGAAGACUCACUUCCGUCUGAAAAUGUAAGCUUCCUGAGGAUAGAAGUUUUUACUCUGGUUAACUGGGGUACUUAGCACUUGGAGCACUACACACAUCAUAGGAGUUCAGCAAAUACUUAUUGAAUGAAAUGAAACCUAUAAAUUCAGUCCCUGCCGCACAGAGAUGUGGAGUCUGAAUUUGCAUUACCUGCAUGGAGAAGAAAUACCGACCUGAGACUAUGCCAAUAAGUAUGACCUUGGAUUGAUGAAAUCAGGAACUGUAGGAGAAUCAAAGGUAUAACUCCUCUUGUUCCCUUCUAUAGAACACAUCUUAUUAAAAAUGACCACCAUAAAAACUACACAAAGAAUUUGAUAAUAUAGGAGAUGGUAU
rnacentral:lncRNA from 1 species